rnacentral:rRNA from 1 species
UACGUAGGGUGCAAGGCGUUAAUCGGAAUUACUGGGCGUAAAGCGUGCGCAGGCGGUGAUGUAAGACAGGUGUGAAAUCCCCGGGCUUAACCUGGGAACUGCAUUUGUGACUGCAUCGCUGGAGUGCGGCAGAGGGGAUGGAAUUCCGCGUGUAGCAGUGAAAUGCGUAGAUAUGCGGAGGAACACCGAUGGCGAAGGCAGCCCCUGGGCUGAAGAUUGACGGCUCGAGGCACGAAAGCGUGGGGAGCAAACAGG